rnacentral:rRNA from 1 species
GUAGUCUCGCACAGAUGCAUAUCAAUAAGCGGAGGAAAAGAAACUAACAAGGAUUCCCCUAGUAACGGCGAGUGAAGCGGGAAGAGCUCAAAUUUGAAAUCUUAAAGGGUUUCCCUUUACGAAUUGUAGUUUAAAGAAGUGUUUUCUGUUGAGGUUUUGGUAAAAGUUCUUUGGAAUAGGACAUCAUAGAGGGUGAGAAUCCCGUAUUUGACCUUUACUUUCAACUUUGUGAUACACUUUCAAAGAGUCGGAUUGUUUGGGAAUGCAGUCCAAAAUGGGUGGUAAAUUUCAUCUAAAGCUAAAUAUUGGCGAGAGACCGAUAGCGAACAAGUACCGUGAGGGAAAGAUGAAAAGAACUUUGAAAAGAGAGUUAAACAGUACGUGAAAUUGUCAAAAGGGAAGCGUUUGACACCAGUGUUGUUUUUCUGAAAAUCAAUUAAAGAACUGUUUAUGCUAAGUUGUUUAGACUUUAUCAGCUAUCUGUUUAGUUUUGAGCUUUUCUUUAAUGCACUUUUCAGUUAACAAGUCAACAUCAAUUUCUUUUGCUGUAAAAGAGCUUGAGGAAGGUGGCUUGAGAUUCGUCUUAAGUGUUUAUAGCCUCUUGCCUAUGCAGUCGGAGAGAUUGAGGUCUGCAGCGUAGAUCCUUCGGGGCUAAAUGCAUUUGUGCUAAGUUAUAGCAUUUUAUAGACAACUUGUUGACUAUGAUUUGUCUUGUAGCUUACUCGCUUAUGUUAUUUUACCUACGCUUAGGAUGUUGAGUAGCGACAUACGCAC